rnacentral:rRNA from 1 species
AUACCAUGCUGAAUAUACCGGUUCUCGUUAAAUCACCGAAGUCAAGCAUCAUUGGGCGCGGUCAGUACUUGGGUGGGUGACCACCUGAGAACACCGCGUGCCGUU